rnacentral:rRNA from 1 species
UACAGAGGAUGCAAGCGUUAUCCGGAAUGAUUGGGCGUAAAGAGCGUGUAGGCGGUUCGGUAAGUCUGCCGUGAAAACCUGGGGCUCAACCCUGGGCGUGCGGUGGAUACUGCCGGGCUAGAGGGUGGUAGAGGCGAGUGGAAUUCCCGGUGUAGCGGUGAAAUGCGCAGAUAUCGGGAGGAACACCAGUAGCGAAGGCGGCUCGCUGGGCCAUUCCUGACGCUGAGACGCGAAAGCUAGGGGAGCGAACAGG